AGUGGGAUAGCUGGGUCAAGUGGGGUGAUUUUAUUCCCAGUUCUCCAAGGAAUCUCCAUACUGUUUUCCAUAUUGGCUGCACCAAUUUGCAGUCCCAUCAGCAAU
rnacentral:pre_miRNA from 1 species